rnacentral:rRNA from 1 species
ACGGGGGCCCGGCACAAGCGGUGGAGUAUGUGGUUAAUUCGAUGCAACGCGAAGAACUUACCUGGUCUUGACAUCCCGGAGACCCUUAGGAAACUAGGGGGUGCUCCAUCUGGAAGAAUCUGGAGACAGGUGCUGCAUGGCUGUCGUCAGCUCGUGUCGUGAGAUGUUGGGUUAAGUCCCGCAACGAGCGCAACCCUUGCCUUUAGUUGCCAGCAGUUCGGCUGGGCACUCUAAAGGGACUGCCGGUGUUAAACCGGAGGAAGGUGGGGGAUGACGUCAAGUCCUCAUGGCCUUUAUGACCAGGGCUACACACGUACUACAAUGGCCGGUACAAAGGGCAGCGACACUGCGAGGUGAAGCCAAUCCCGUAAAAUCGGUCUCAGUCCGGAUUGGAGUCUGCAACUCGACUCCAUGAAGUUGGAAUCGCUAGUAAUCGUGGAUCAGCAUGCCACGGUGAAUACGUUCCCGGGCCUU